CGUUGGUCAAGUGGUUAAGACACCGCCCUUUCACGGCGGUAACACGGGUUCGAAUCCCGUACG
rnacentral:tRNA from 23 species